ensembl:snRNA U1 U1 spliceosomal RNA
AUACUUACCUGGCAGGGGAGAUACCAUGAUCAGGAAGGUGAUUUUCCCAGGGCAAGGCUUAUCCAUUGCACUCCGGAUGUGCUGACCCCUGCGAUUUCCCCAAAUGCGGGAAACUCAACUGCAUAAUUUGUGGUAGUGGGGGACUGCGUUCGCGCUCUCCCAUG